rnacentral:rRNA from 1 species
GACGAACGCUGGCGGCGUGCCUAAUACAUGCAAGUCGAGCGAAGCGGCGGAUGGGUGAGUAAAGCGUGGGUAACCUGUCCUUAAGUCUGGUAUACAAUUUGGAUAAAGCUGCUAAUACCGGAUACUAAAGGUUGGACCUGCGGUGCAUUAGCGAGUUGGUAAGGUACCGGCGUACCAAGGCGAUGAUGGAUAUCCGAGUUUAGAGACUGAUCGGCCACAUUGGGACUGAGACACGGCCCAAACUCCUACGGGAGGCAGCAGUAGGGAAUCUUCCACAAUGGACGAAAGUCUGAUGGGGCAACGCCGCGGGAGUGAAGAAGGUUUUCGGAUCGUAAAGCUCUGUUGUUGGUGAAGCGGUAAUCAACCAGAAAGUCACGGCUAACUACGUGCCAGCAGCCGCGGUAAUUC